GCAUAAUAAUUUGCCUUUUAAUUGAAGGCUUGUAUGAAUGGAUAAACGAGAAUAAAGCUGUCUCAAUUUUAGUAAUAAAAAUUAAUAUUCAAAUGAAGAAGUUUGAAUAAAAUAAAAAGACAAGAAGACCCUGUUGAGCUUUAUCUCAGAUAAGAUAUAAUAAAUUUGAUUAUUGAUUUUCUUGAAAUGAGAUUUAAUUGGGGCGAUUAAGGAAGAAAUAAAAUCUUCCUAAAAGUUAAUAGAUUUUUGAAUCUUAAAAUGUAUCCAUUAUUAGUGAAUAAAUAAUUAGCUACCACAGGGAUAACAGGCUAAUUUCUUUUAAGAGUUCAUAUCGAAAAAGAAGUUUGGCACCUCGAUGUUGGCUUAGGAUAAGAAUUAAAUGCAGAAGUUUAAUAGACUGGGUUUGUUCAACCCUUAAAUUCCU
rnacentral:rRNA from 1 species